UCGGGAAUUUUGGGCAAUGGGCGAAAGCCUGACCCAGCAACGCCGCGUGAGGGAUGAAGUAUUUCGGUAUGUAAACCUCGAAAGAAUGGGAAGAAUAAAUGACGGUACCAUUUAUAAGCUCCGGCUAACUACGUGCCAGCAGCCGCGGUAAUACGUAGGGAGCAAGCGUUGUUCGGAUUUACUGGGCGUAAAGGGCGCGUAGGCGGCGCGGUAAGUCACUUGUGAAGUCUCUGAGCUUAACUCAGAACGGCCAAGUGAUACUGCUGUGCUAGAGUGCGGAAGAGGCAACCGGAAUUCUGGGUGUAGCGGUGAAAUGCGUAGAUAUCAAGAGGAACACCUGAGGCGAAGGCGGGUUGCUGGGCCGACACUGACGCUGAUGCGCGAAAGCCAGGGGAGCAAACG
rnacentral:rRNA from 1 species